UUUGAUGGAUCGUGUGAAAAAGCCAUCACCAGUGAUGGCAGCAUCCACAGAGGAAACCCAGGAAAAUGAACAUCAGAGUGAUAGUGAGGUGUCUUUUAAGAUGGUGCAACGUGAAGGUGAGCCAAAUGAAGACGAGGCAUCUACGAGAUCAUCAUCACCAGUUUUGUCAGAUAGGACCCUGCAGGGAGUCGGAGAAAGACUGAAAGAAUUCUUCGAUGCGGGACAUUUUGCAGCAAUCCAAACUUUGGUGACAUCCAAGCAAUUGGCAUUUUGCAGCAAUCCAAACUUCGGUGACAUCCAAGGCACUACCAAAAAUCACCUACCCAUUGCAAAUCCCUGAGUUGCAUGCCCAUCCAAGAAUCUCACUCAUUGCUGAUACACAUGACGAGAAUGAAGACCUUUACGACCAUGUCUUCAAGAUUCUUCUGGCGGAAGUGAAGACUGAAGAUAUUCACACCAAAUUGUGUUCAGCAAUGUUGGCAACGGCAGUUGUGGUGUCCUCGUAUUCUUCAGGGAUGCUGCUUCAUGAAACCAUGGAGACCAUCAAUGAAGUUCCGAAUCAUCUGGAAAAAGUAUCCCUAAGACAUUUCCCCAAGUUGCCUGCAUCGAAGAAAUUGGUUAUUGACUCCAAUUCCAUUACAAGAAAAGAUAUCCAUUGCCUCGAUGGUCAGAAUUGGCUGGAUGAUUCGAUCAUACAUGCUUAUCUUGGCCUCCUGCAGAGAGAGAGGACACUACUGCAGAAAAAAUGAAGUCUUCAUUCUCCCAUGCUUUCUAAUGCAGAAAUGGACCAGGAGGGACUACCUUUCCUGGUUAUACCCAAACGUGAAGUUUUCCUCCUAUGCCUUUAUCCUGAUGCCCAUUUGCAGCAACCACCACUGGAUUCUCCUGGUCGCCAGUGUGUCAAAAAAAAGGUUUUGGUGUUGGAACCCCUAGGACACCAACAUCCGGACAUCGAGCACAAGUGGAGGAAGUACAUGUACACAAGGGAAAAAUACACUCCGGAAGGGUUGGAAAAAUGGAGCAGUGACCAUCAAGCUGUAAGUCGUCAAAGUUAUGGCAACAGUUGUUGCGUCUUUGUUCUUAUGGUUCAAUUAACGAAGCAUGUGGACACAAAUGCCAAUGUAAGCAGCGCAAACUCAAACCUGAGGGAUAAUUAUAGGUAGUAUCAGGUGAUUUCACCUGUCGAUCUCUCCACACACCACAAGACCUUUCUAAUGAAACAAUGAAUAGAAAAGAUGAAGUCUUUCCUUUUAAAAUGCCUAUCAUUUUUUUUUAAACCCGAUUCACAGUAGAUACCUCUUAUCUUUAGCAACCUCCACAGAAGCGCUUCAGUAAACGUCGUUUUUAUUAGAUUAAUGACCUUUGCUGUUUAUUAUUUUUUCAGAGAAAUCUUUCUGUUGAAACCUUUAAUAAAUGCUGCUGCUUCAGUCAUUCAUUAUGUAUUCCUAACCCAUGUGCAGUAAGAUAUUUCACUGACACUGGUACUCAGGCUAUAAAUAAACAAAUGUAUAACACAAACAAACAAACUGAAUGCUGUUAUUAGUCAGUAUUGCCCGCACCAAGUGUUUGACAUAAUAUAACACAUUUUUUUGUUACUUUUUUUAGUAACAAUGAAGGCCACAUG
rnacentral:sRNA from 1 species